rnacentral:misc_RNA from 1 species
GAUGAAGAACGCAGCGAAAUGCGAUAAGUAAUGUGAAUUGCAGAAUUCAGUGAAUCAUCGAAUCUUUGAACGCACAUUGCGCCCGCCAGUAUUCUGGCGGGCAUGCCUGUCUGAGCGUCAUUUCAACCCUCAUGCCCCUAGGGCGUGGUGUUGGGGAUCGGCCAAAGCCCGCGAGGGACGGCCGGCCCCUAAAUCUAGUGGCGGACCCGUCGUGGCCUCCUCUGCGAAGUAGUGAUAUUCCGCAUCGGAGAGCGACGAGCCCCUGCCGUUAAACCCCCAACUUUCCAAGGUUGACCUCAGAUCAGGUAGGAAUACCCGCUGAACUUAAGCAUAUCAAUAAGGAGGA